UAUAUAUAUACAUACACACAUCUACAAAAGGUAAGAUAUAUUGUUUAGUAAAAGUAGGUGAGCAUAAGUUACUAAAAAAUGUUUGUUUAGGAUGAGAUCGAUAUUAAAUCGCGCACUGAUUGCGAGAAAUUGAUAAUUAAAUAGAUCUAAUCAAUACGAUAAAUCAAUGGCUUAUUUAUUUAUCACCAUUCUCUUAAUUACGAUCUGUGAUUGUAAAUCUACACUUUCAUUCAAUGGGCAUGUAAUAAUCCUUUCUACUAUAGACAUGUACAAGAAGAGGCCCAGUGGUUAGGGCAGCGGACUCGCGGUUUCGAUUCCCAGACCGGGCGUUGUGAGUGUUAAUUGAGCGAAAACGCCUAAAGCUCCACGAGGCUCCGGCAGGGGAUGGUGGUGAUCCCUGCUGUACUCUCUGUGUCACGCUGAAUAUCCCCGAGAACUACGUUAAGGGUGCACAUGUCUGUGGAGGGCUCAGCCACUUACACGUUAAUUUCACGAGCAGGCUGUUCCGUUGAUUCGGAUCAACCGGAACCCUCGUCGUCGUAACCGACGGAGUGCUUCCAUCCAAUAAUCCUUUCUACUAUAGACAUGUACAAGAAGAGGCCCAGUGGUUAGGGCAGCGGACUCGCGGUUUCGAUUCCCAGACCGGGCGUUGUGAGUGUUAAUUGAGCGAAAACGCCUAAAGCUCCACGAGGCUCCGGCAGGGGAUGGUGGUGAUCCCUGCUGUACUCUCUGUGUCACGCUGAAUAUCCCCGAGAACUACGUUAAGGGUGCACAUGUCAGUGGAGGGCUCAGCCACUUACACGUUAAUUUCACGAGCAGGCUGUUCCGUUGAUUCGGAUCAACCGGAACCCUCGUCGUCGUAACCGACGGAGUGCUUCCAUCCAAUAAUCCUUUCUACUAUAGACAUGUACAAGAAGAGGCCCAGUGGUUUGGGCAGCGGUUUCGAUUCCCAGACCGGGCGUUGUGAGUGCUUAUUGAGCGAAAACACCAAAAGCUCCACGAGGCUCUGGCAGGGGAUGGUGGUGAUCCCUGCUGUACUCUUUCGCCACAACUUUCUCUCACAAUUUUCUUCUGUUGGCCUGCUCGCUUAGCCAGCGGGGUGGCGUCAUUUGAAGGUUAAAAAACAAUACGAAGCGCAUUGUGACCAGCGAUGUGUUGCAACAUCUGAAAGCCUGGUCGGUCACGGUGGUCACAGUGAUAUAUCAUCAUCAUCAUCCUCGUUACCAUCAUUUAAUGAUGAUGGUGAUAUAUAUACACGCACACAUUAGAUAAGUUCAAUUAUUCCAAUACAGCAUUUACAUACUCUUUUACUUGUUUCAGUCAUUUUGACUGCGGCCAUGCUGGAACACCGCCUUUAAUCGAGCAACUCGACCCCGGGACUUAUUCUUUGCCGAACCCUCUGUGACGGGGACAUAAACACACCAGCAUCGGCUGUCAAGCAAUGCUAGGGGGACAAACACACACACACGCAUAUAUAUAUAUAUAUAUACGACGGGCUUCUUUCAGUUUCCGUCUACCAAAUCCACUCACAAGGCUUUGGUUGGCCCAAGGCUAUAGUAGAAGACACUUGCCCAAGGUGCCACACAGUGGUACUGAACUCGGAACCAUGUGGUUAGUAAACAAGCUACUUACCACACAGCCACUCCUGUGCCUAUAAUAAAAUGUAAAAAUUUCAACUGUCGUAUCUCUACAUUCUAAAUAUCCUCCACAUCUUACAAUUCGUGUUUCUUAUUUUCAGAAUAUCAGAAACAGCCGAGAGUUGUUUACAUCAUGUACAUCAACAAUAUUCAUUAUCUUUGUAAAAUGCUACACAGAAUUAAUACAAUCCUGUUUAAAUAAAUCUAUGGUAGAAUACCUGAUAUAUAAUAUUUAUCUUCUUUCCAAGGUUAAAUGGACAGAGUUGCCGAAGCAUGGAACAAACUGCCGGCAUCAGUUGUUAGUUGUCAGAGCACUGCAUCCUUCAAAACUUCCAUGCUUCCUGAGAUUUGCCAACACUACACCUGAUUUUCUCCCCUCCAUACACACACAAGCAUGUAUCUGACUCAUACACUGUUCACUUCCCAGGCAUUUGUACAUUACUGCAUAUACUUUAUAUGCACUUUCUGACAAGCUGAGGUGCACCUGAGCACUGUAUACAAUAAUUUCAUUAUUAUUAUUAUUAUUAUUAGAGGACUUCACUGAAGAAGGUUAUGCUUUUAAGUUGGUGGGAUGUGAAUGGUGUUGUUUUUAACAAAUUUUUCCCCAUGGGCAGCACCAUCAGUUUGGAUGUGUACUGUAAUUAGCCUGACAAAUUAAACACAGCAGUUCACCAGGAUCAUCCAGUACUUGCUAAACAUUAGGCAAUACUAGACUACACAUUUCUUUGCAGAAGUUACUGGGGUUUGGCUGGGAUGUUUUGCUGCACCCCCUCCCAUAUUCGCCCAACCUUGCACCUCCAGAUUUCCACCUGUUUCAGUCUCUUCAAACAUCAUUGAAAUUAUUGAUCCAUCAUUACAGUAUUUAUUUUGUGAUGCUAUACACACACCUUUUCAGAAUAGGAAAAGAAAUACUUUGGUUAAGUUUAAUUAUUGUACUAAAGUGUUUACAUCUAAAAUUUUUAUAAAAAAUGUACAAUUUUGACUGGUGUAUCUCUACAUUGUAAAUAUUUCUCAUAUCUUACGUUCUUGUUUCUUUUUUAUUUCAGGAUAUCAGAAACAACGAAGAAACAUCUAUUUCAAUAUACAUCAUCAAUAGAUGUCAUCUUUUCAAGUCUAAAUGGAAAUAUUACACAGAACAGAUAUAAUACUGUUUAUAUAAAGCAAAGCUGAACUACAGAUAAAUAUUUCUCUGGAACUGUUAUGUCACACCAACUUUUGUUUACUUCACUGCUUUGAUUCUUUCCCCAGUGAUCUUGCAUUCUACUUUCACUUUCCCACUGUGUAAGAUGAGUCUACAUGGUUAUUAAACUUGGAAGAAUUUACAAAGAAAUUUGCAGCAUCUUCAGAUAUCAUAAUGUUUCAUGGAAAUAAUUAUUAUUAGUAAUAAUUAUUAGGAAUUAAAUAUAAAAACACAAAGAGUAACGGGUGUAUAUGGUAGAAAGGAAAGAAGAAUUAUGGAAAUUGAUGUGUAAGAUGAUUUUACAUGGUUAUUGAACUUGGAAGAAUUUACAAAGAAAUUUGCAGCAUUUUCUGAUUACACUUG
rnacentral:lncRNA from 1 species